UUUCCUCCCAUUGAAGUUGUAGCCUCCCUUGCUUGUGCCCAUCAGAAAAUGAAGCCAAGAUGCCGCUGGAGCUUGAGGUAAGGCCCGACCCUUCUUCCUCUCCCUCUUUCGUUUCUCCUUAUGGCCCCAAGCCUUGUCGUCGACCACCGGCUUUACCGUCGGCCACCGGCUUUGCCAAAAAUUCACACAAAAAAUCUCCUAUGUUCAUGCUU
rnacentral:lncRNA from 1 species